AUUAGUAAAUAGCUGUAACCAGGAACUAAUAAGUAACGGUUACUACUCUCAUUUAUUAUGCUGCAAAAUUACGCAAAUUAUUUAAGACUGAUUGUUACAAAAGAUUUUGAGGUGUUCCUUCGGGAAAAAAACAGCAAUCAUUAAACAGAUAAUUGUUUUGGCAAAUUUAUUUCAAAACUGUAAACAAACGUUCCGUCGAAGUUCAAUCAGUUGUCAUUAGAAUCAUUAGAACCUGUUAAGUUCCUAGGACCCAAAUUUUGCACAUUACUUUUUAACAUUCUAAAAACAAAACGCGGGAGAGUUUAAAUGGGAGCUCAAACAGUUUAGUUUAAAUGUUUUGACGAAUCUUUUUAGAAAUGUUGUUGCGCUUCAUUAUAAGAUCCAAAACAGUCUAUAACGGCGGACAAAAGAAUUACUCAAAUCAUGUUAGUUAGUAUAUCAUGCUUUAUAAAGAAAUGUGCUUCAUU